AGUUCCAAAGGAAACUCACUUGUCAUUGUUAUUAGAACAACACGCUAUUCUCUUCCUUUCUUUCUCUUUCUUCAACAAGACAAAUGGGUAGCUUAAUUGGGCAUGUAUUACCAGGAAUAGCAUUUCUUGCACUAGGUUUAUGGCAUCUUUUUAAUCAUAUAAAACUCUACUCUCUACAACCAAACUCCUACAUUUCAUCUCCAUGGUUCCCAACCUCAAAAAUAAGGUACUUGGAACUUCUCUUGAUCAUCGCAGGAAGCUCUAUCUCCAUUUCCAUGGAGCUUUUUAUUGGGCCUCAGAAACACCAACCUUUUGAUACUGAUGGAACCAUACCAUCAAAUCAUUUAAGAAACUUCGAACACUCUUCAAUAUCAAUGUUUUUCAUCGUUUAUGCAUCUUUUGCAAUACUUCUUGAUAGAAUAAAGCCUAUAUCUCAAAUUGACCUAACACAACUCAUUGGAGCAAUAGCUUUUUCUCAGCAAUAUCUUCUCUUCUAUCUUCACUCAACAGAUCAUAAGGGACUUGAAGGGCAAUACCACUUUCUUCUCCAAAUCAUUGUGAUUGUUUCUAUAGUAACUACUCUUAUGGGGAUUGGACUUCCAAAGAGUUUCUUGAUUAGUUUUGUUAGAUCUGUUAGCAUUAUUUUUCAAGGUGUUUGGUUCGUAGUUAUGGGUUAUAUGCUAUGGACACCACAGUUCAUACCCAAAGGUUGCUUAAUCCAUAAUGAUGAUGGUCACAUAGUUGUUAAAUGUGGUAGCCAAGAGGCAUUACAUAGAGCUAAAUCGUUAGUCAAUAUCUUAUUUAGUUGGUUUCUGAUUGGACUUACCAUUUUUUCAAUUUCAUUUUAUUUGGUUUUGGUUGAAAAGAAUAGCAAAAGGGUUCAAUAUUCUUCAUUGCCAAAGGAAUUUGAAGAGCUACAAGAAGACUCUAAUGAUGUUGAAUCCCAAAAGGAGAAGAAAUUUGGUGAUUCCAAGGGUAAUUUUACUCAUGUUGGAUCAGGAUUUCCAGCUUUUGAUUUGGAAAGGUUCAAGUUGUGAGAGAAUUGAAGUUAAAUGUGAUUACCUCUCUGUCCAAAUUUAUUUGCUUGUAGUUAUGCAAAAAGAAGUGCAGAUCUCCUUUCUAAUGAAGCAAGAAAUUUGAAGGUGAUCAGAUCAGACUUGUAGAAUAGAGUCGAACAAUGGCCAUGAAUAGCCACUAAGUGGAGCAAGCGAUCGCAUAUGGCACAAAUAUUAUACUUUGUCAGCUAGAUCAAAUACUUCAAAUCAAGAUUGUGUUUUUUUAUUUUUUGUAUAAGUGAUUUAUUAUUAGACUUGUUGUACAAAAAAAAAA